GGUCCGGUGGCUCAAUUGAUAGGGCGUCUGACUUCGAUUGAUUCCACAAAAGAGGAAUCCCCAAGGAUUUUCGGAAUUUUAUCAGAAGAUUGCGGGUUCGAGUCCCGUCUGGAUCG
rnacentral:tRNA from 1 species